rnacentral:rRNA from 1 species
UACGUAGGUGGCGAGCGUUGUCCGGAUUUACUGGGCGUAAAGGGCGUGCAGGCGGUUUGUUAAGUGCAGGGUGAAAGCUCCCGGCUCAACUGGGAGAGGUCCUUGCAUACUGGCGAACUCGAGGGAGGCAGAGGAAAGUGGAAUUCCCGGUGUAGUGGUGAUAUGCGUAGAUAUCGGGAGGAACACCUGUGGCGAAGGCGGCCCCCUGGACCGGUACUGACGCUGAGGCGCGAAAGCGUGGGUAGCAAACGGG